AUACGGAGGGUGCGAGCGUUAAUCGGAAUUACUGGGCGUAAAGCGCGCGUAGGCGGUUGCGUAAGUCGAUUGUGAAAGCCCCGGGCUUAACCUGGGAAUUGCAGUCGAUACUGCGUGACUAGAGUGUGGUAGAGGGAAGUGGAAUUCCGGGUGUAGCGGUGAAAUGCGUAGAUAUCCGGAGGAACACCAGUGGCGAAGGCGGCUUCCUGGACCAACACUGACGCUGAGGUGCGAAAGCGUGGGGAGC
rnacentral:rRNA from 1 species